rnacentral:rRNA from 1 species
CCCUAAACUUAGAUAUUUUAAAUACAAAACUAUCCGCCAGAAAACUACGAGCAAAACGCUUAAAACUCCAAGGACUUGGCGGUACCUUAAAUCCCCCUAGAGGAGCCUGUUCUAUAAUCGAUAAUCCACGCUAAACCUCACCAUCUUUUGCCAACCCAGCCUAUAUACCACCGUCACCAGCCUACCUUAUGAAAGCCAAAAAAGUCAGCCCAAUAGCCCAAACAGCUAACAAGUCAGGUCAAGGUGUAGCCAAUUAAGAUGGAAGAAAUGGGCUACAUUUUCUAUAGUAGAAAUAACCACGGAACAGAACCAUGAAACACGAUCUGAAUAAAAGAAGGAUUUAGUAGUAAAUUGAGAGCAGAGAGCCCAAUUUAAAACGGACCUGAGGUACGC